rnacentral:rRNA from 1 species
AUGUGUGCAGCAAAAAGGGAUGGCGGAAUGGGGUUUAGGGAUCCUGAAGUUUUCAAUCAAGCUCUGCUUGCAAAACAGGCUUGGUGGAUCCUCCAGACCCCUACCUCUCUCUGUGCGAGGGUUCUCAAAGCAAGGUAUUUCAAGGAAGACUCAAUUCUUACAGCAUCCUGCCCCCCAACGGCAUCGUAUACUUUCAGAAGCAUAUUGCAUGGGAGGGAUCUCCUUAGAGAGGGGCUGAUCUGGCGCAUAGGAGAUGGAACCCAGGUGCGCAUUCAUCACGCUAACUGGAUCCCGAGGAGCAGCAGCAUGAAGCCGUUGGGUCAGAUUUAUAUGUCGAGUGUAACGAGAGUUGCCCAUCUUCUAUCCCCUGAUGGGAGGAGCUGGAACGUGGGAAGACUAGAAACAAUGUUUUCGCCUGAUGACGUGAAAGACAUCAAGCAAAUUGCGGUGGGAGGACCUGGCCAAGAUGAUUACUUGGCGUGGAACUUUACAAAGAAUGGGUGCUUCACGGUGAAGUCUGCCUAUCAUAUGAAAAUGGCAAUGUUAAGGGCAGGGACAGGACAGCCGGAAUCCUCAUCUUCGGUUACUAAAAACAGCGGUUUCAUGUCUCUAUGGGAUACACAAGUGCUGGCUAAGGACAAGAUCCACACAUGGAGGCUCGUCAAAAAUGGCUUGGCAGUCGGGGCAGAGCUUCAUCAUCGUCAGAUCAAACCCGGAAUUUUUUGUGUUGCAUGCGGCCGGGAGGAAACAAUCUAUCACGGGUUUUGGGCGUGUCAGCAUUCAGUACAAUUUUGGUAG